rnacentral:rRNA from 1 species
CCUACGGGGGGCAGCAGUAGGGAAUCUUUCACAAUGGGCGAAAGCCUGAUGGAGCAACGCCGCGUGCAGGAUGAAGGCCUUCGGGUUGUAAACUGCUUUUAUAAGCGAGAAAUAUGAUGGUAACUUAUGAAUAAGGAUCGGCUAACUACGUGCCAGCAGCCGCGGUCAUACGUAGGAUCCGAGCAUUAUCCGGAGUGACUGGGUGUAAAGAGUUGCGUAGGUGGCAUAAUAAGUAGCUAGUGAAAUCUGGUGGCUCAACCAUUCAGACUAUUAGCUAAACUGUUAAGCUCGAGACCGUUAGGGGUAACUGGAAUGGCUAGUGUAGGAGUGAAAUCCGUAGAUAUUAGAAGGAACACCAAUAGCGUAGGCAGGUUGCUGGGACGGUUCUGACACUAAGGCACGAAAGCGUAGGGAGCAAACGGGAUUAGAUACCCGUGUAGUC